rnacentral:lncRNA from 9 species
AUGCAUGUGUCUUGUCUCUUCUUGAGGAAUUCGCUGUUUCUUCUUUCACUGUUUCACCCACUGACAAGCAGAGGUUGUCUGCCCCUGGCUCUAGGUUGUAGGCCCAGUGCUGGGCCCAGGAGAGAGAUGAAAGGGAGAAAGGAAGGAAGGAGGCAAGCCUAUGCCCAUGCCUCGUGGGGUGGGCCCACCCCACACCAGGCCGUAGAGCUCGAGACACCUGCCCUUUUCUUUUCUAUUUCUCUUCCUCUGUCUGUCUGUCUGUCUGUCCUUCUUUCCUUCCUUCCUUCUUUCCUUUCCUUUCCUUUUCUUUUCUUUUCCUUUCUUUCUUCCCACAGCAUGCAGAAGCCUCCAGGCCAGGGAUCAAACCUGCACCACAGCAGUGACUACACUGGAUACUUAAUCCAAGAGGCCACCAGAGAACUCCUGAGACACCUACUUUUUUUUUUUUUUUUUUUUUUUUUUUUUUGUGCUUUUCAGGGCCGAACCCACAGCCUAUGGAGGUUCCCAGGCUAGGAGUUGAAUCAGAGCUACAGCUGCCAGCCUGCGCCACAGUCCCAACAACAUGGCAUUCAAGCCGUGUGUGCGACCUACACCAUAGCUCAUGGCCACGCCGGAUCCCCAACCCACUGAGUGAGGUUGGGGAUUGAACCCUCAUCCUCAUGGAUCCUAGUCAGAUUUGUUUCCGCUGCACCCCACAACUGGAACUCUGACACCUACUUUCAGUAUCCUCGAAAUAACUUCCCUUAUUCUGAAUUCACUCCCCGAUCAAUUUUCUGAGGACCUGGUCAGUUCUUAACCCCUGUAGUCAUGCCCUUUGCCAUGUGACUCUGUAGGGCCCUCCUCUCUGACUCUGAGUCAGCCAGGGUCUUGCUGGGCCCAUGGGAUGUUGGUUAUCAUGAAGCAGGAAGAACUUUGAAAAGCACUUGCACAAUUGGGCUUGCCCAGGCUCUGUACCUCUGCCACCACCUGAAGGCCUGUCCACAUUAAAUUUCCAGAGAAUGAGAGAUGCUUUCAAAUCAUUCCCCUGCCCUCAGCCAAAGUCAGCUGAUAGGGUAGGGAGCCCAGCCGAGACCUGAAGAGUUACCCAGCCAUGACCAGUCCAAACCGCAAACUCAAAGACCCUUAAGCUAAAUAAAUGCUUAGUAUUUUAAGCCACCAAGUGUUGGGGUGAUUUGUUACACAGCAUUAGUAUGGCCAUCAGUAACUGAUACAGAUGGUCAUAGGUCUUCCCACAUAGAUUUUUUUUUUUUUUUUGUCUUUUUUUGCUAUUUCUUGGGCCGCUCCCACGGCAUGUGGAGGUUCCCAGGCUAGGGAUCUAAUCGGAGCCGUAGCCACCAGCCUAUGCCAGAGCCACAGCAAUGCAGGAUCUGAGCCGCGUCUGCAACCUACACCACAGAUCAUGGCAACGCCAGAUCGUUAACCCACUGAGCAAGGGCAGGGACCGAACCUGCAACCUCAUGGUUCCUAGUCAGAUUCGUUAACCACUGCACCACGAUGGGAACUCCAGAUUUGUUUAUUGAGGAAAAAAAAUAACCAAUUGGCCAGCAUGAGUGAGUGUGCUGUUCCCUGGACAAAUGAACUCCUCACUUUAUACUUUUUAAAAGGUGGCUGUUUAGUGUAUCAGAUUCCUCUGAAUUUAGGAUUGGUCUCAUACGAACACACAUUAUUUGAAUAGCAGCAGUAACAGCCAACAUGUACCUAACACUUACUCUAGACCACACAUCAAGCUACCAGAGGACCUGCUUUGACUCACUCAGUUCCUGUACCAGCCCUAUGAAGUAGCUUGUGCUAGCAUCUUCAUUUUGCCAAUGAGGAAACAAGCCCAGAGGAAUUGAAUUACUUUCCUGUGGUGACAUUGGCUUAGACCUCGGGCAGAAGUGAUCAAAGGAACUGAUGUGGGACCCUCGAAAAGUAGGUGAUCUGUGUUCUGCACAGCAAAACGUCGGGUACAACGAAUGCCUGCCCUGACAGGGGAGCUGCCCCACAUGUGUUUUCCAGGCUGGCAUCUCACAAGGAAGAGGACUGGAAAGCAGAAAACCAGUUAUCCCUGUUGGCUACUGUUGGCUGCAUUUGGUGAGGCUUUACAAGGAAGAGAUGAGCUCUGCAGAGAAUGGUGCUCAGAGUUCUUUUUGUGGCUCAGUGGUAACAAACCCAGCUGGUAUCCAUGAGGAUUCUGGUUUGAUCUCUGGCCUCACCCAGUGGGUUAAAUAUCUGGCAUUGCCGUGAGCUGCAGUAUAGUUCGCAGGUGCUGCUCAGAUCUUGCAUUGUCAUGGCUGUGGUGUAGGCUGGCAGCUGCAGCUCCGAUUCAACCCCUAGCCUGGGAACCUCCACAUACCUUGGGUAUGGCCCUAAAAAGAAAAAAGAAAAAAAAAAAAAAAAAAGAAUUACCUGGUGUUUAAGUAGAAAUGAAAGGAAAUAGAAUCCAGAAAUCUUGGGCCUUCUGGGGUUACAGAUCUACAUCUAAAGUAGAAAAAGAUGAGAUGUAAGCAAAGCUUUGGACAACAAAGACCCAACAAAACUCUUCCCUUGAAUGAAUUGUCUCAGGACAAGAUCAGGUCAAAGGCGUGCCUCCUAGUUAUUGUUCCAAAGAGCCUCAAGUUAGACAUUGAGGGCAAAGGGAGCGGUAUGGAGAGGAAGCAGCAACACACAAGUCAGGCUCAAGAAUCAGGUCUAGGAAAAGACCGGGUGAGUGUGGCUCCUGGGCUGGGAAAGCUCUUCCUUUCCUGCUCUUCACAACCCGUCUUCUCCAAAGGGUUGACUCCACGCGUCUCCACUUCCUUAUCUCUCAUCCCCUCCUUGUCUUCACCUCUCCGCUUUUCACCUCC